rnacentral:pre_miRNA from 1 species
GCGAUAAGAGCCGAUCAACUAGCCAAGGUGACUUGCAUACAAACCCCAAAAUCAUAAUUCUAGAAUCUUCUCCUAAGGAUGUAGGCAAGCCAUCCUUGGCUACCAAAUAAGACUCUUUAUC